rnacentral:pre_miRNA from 1 species
AACUUUGUAUCCGUGCAGAGAUUUCGUCACACAUAAGAUCACAAUGGCUGAUGAGACUCCUAAGAUAAGUGAAGCG